UAUCUCUCUGUACAGGGAAGGAUGAGAAUCUUCGAUUAAGGUUCGACUCGAGCGGAAGCGAGAGAACGUUGCCAACGGCAACGGCCCGAAGGGGG
rnacentral:sRNA from 1 species